rnacentral:miRNA from 1 species
CAUGUGCCCUUCUUCUCCAUC